rnacentral:rRNA from 1 species
CACGCCGUAAACGAUGAAUACUAGGUGUAGGGGGUAUGAACUCCCUCUGUGCCGUAGCUAACGCAAUAAGUAUUCCGCCUGGGGAGUACGGCCGCAAGGUUGAAACUCAAAGGAAUUGACGGGGGCCCGCACAAGCAGCGGAGCAUGUGGUUUAAUUCGAAGCAACGCGAAGAACCUUACCAAGGCUUGACAUCCACUUAAAGCUAUGGAAACAUAGUGUCCCUUCGGGGGAAGUGAGACAGGUGG